rnacentral:rRNA from 1 species
UACAGAGGUCUCAAGCGUUGUUCGGAUUCAUUGGGCGUAAAGGGUGCGUAGGCGGCGAGGCAAGUCAGAUGUGAAAUCCCGGGGCUUAACCCCGGAACUGCAUUUGAUACUGCUUUGCUUGAGGACUGGAGAGGAGAUCGGAAUUCACGGUGUAGCAGUGAAAUGCGUAGAUAUCGUGAGGAAGGCCAGUGGCGAAGGCGGAUCUCUGGACAGUUCCUGACGCUGAGGCACGAAGGUCAGGGGAGCAAACGGG